AUCAUCCUACACAUCUGCACUCUCUCCUUGCCCCACUUUUGGCCCCUGAAGCCUUUCUCCUCUUUCCUGAGCCACCUCUGCAGCACUCUGCAACUACCAUGCUGUGCUGUUAGUAGUGUUGAUUGCUAGGCAGUUCUGAAGCUCUUUAGGAGAGUCUCUGGCCAGUCUUGGCACUUUGUCCUUGAAGUUUAUACCUUUUGAGGGUUGUACCUAUAUUCUGUCUUGUAACUAGUGUGGCUGAAAGGCCUCACUGGUGUGAUGGAGCAGAUUGGUGCUGUGGAGGGGCUUAGCCGUUGACUGGUGGACACUUGCAGCCUGGUCAGGCUAUUGGUAGGGCACAAGAGUAGGGUAGAUUGUAGUUUGCAUGUUGCUUACAGAAUUGUGUAACUGCUUUUGCCUUGUACAUUUGGAUGUCUUUUCUAAAUGUUCAUUUGUCUCUUAUGUACAUUCAUUUUUAUGGCGUAGAGGGGGGUACAGAUGCCAUAACACACCUAAGGAAGUUCAGAUGACAGCUUGCAGGAGGAGUUGGUUUUUGCACCCUUAUCCCUGAGCCAUUCUGCUGGUAGCUCCUUCCAGAAGUGUUUUUUUUUUUAGUUUUUUAACAGUUUGUCCAUAUACAUAAUAUAUUUUGAUUAUUCUUACUCCCUCUUCACUCUGUCACAUUCCUACUGAGUCCUUUAUAACAAGUCCCUUCUUGCCUCAGGGUUUUUGUUGUUGUUUUAUUUGUUUUGUUGCUGUUUUAUAGCCCAUUGCCUUUAAUUAAGGUUGCUUAUAAAAGUAUGUUUGUAUGGUAGUGGUGGGAUUGUUCCAUACUCUGGUGCAAGGGCAACUUAACAAUGGUUGCAACACUGAAGAAAAUGACUCCCUUUUCCUCAGCAACUACCAAAAGGGUCUCAGCUAGGGUGGGGCCUCAUAAGCCACUCCUCCAUCUAUGUUAAAAUGACAUAUCCCAAGCAGUGUUGUUCUCGUGCAGGUAGUCCCAGCUACCUUGAGGUUCUGAGUGCAGUGGCCAGGUCAUGUCAGAAAGACAUACUUUCAGUGUUCCUACCACAUCCUACUCCUCUUAGCAUCCUAUCUGCCCACUCUUCUGUGCUGUUUCCUAGACCUUGGAGCCAGUGACUAGAUGUCCCAUUUAGAGCCAUUCACUUAGUAAUCACUUAUUUUCAGCACUUGGACUGGUUAUGAGUCUGCAUUAACCCAAGCCCACUGCAAACAAGCUUCUCUGCCCAAGGUUGAGAGUACUCACCACUUUUCCUUGUGACCUCCUAAUUUUUUCUGCAGUGUCCUCAAGGGUCAGAGCUCCUACCUUUUUUCCUUCUCGCAACAUAUUGUGAUAUUUUGGUUGAUAUUUUGGUUUAUGUGUGUUUGAUUUCUUUUUUGUAUGUGGUGUGUAUGCAUGUGUGUGUGUCCUGCUCUAUCACUCACCUUAGUCCUUACACAGGCAGUCUCAAGGAAGCUGGAGCUAGGGAGCGAGCAGAAAGCUUUAGCCAGCCAUCCUCUUGUCUCUAACCUACUCAGUGCUGGGGUUACAGACUUUCCGUUAUGAGUGUUGGGGGGUCACCUGCUGGUGUUCAUGUUUGAUUAGCAAGUGUUCUUAAAUAUUAAUCUAUCUCCUGCCCUGUUUAUGUAUUAAAAUAGGGUUAUAGCCUAGGCUGGCCUUAACUUUCGUUUUCUGAGUGCAGGGAAUACUAUCAUGCCUAAUAAGCACAGUUUGUUUUUCUUUUUGCCUGCCUGCCUGCCUGCCUGCCUUUCUCUGUUUCUCUACAGCCCUGGCUUUCCUGGAACUUGCUUUGUAGACCAUCCUGGCCUUCAGACUCAGAGAUUCCUCAUGUCUCUGCCUUCUAAGUACUGGGAUUAAAGAUGUAUACCACCAAGUUCCACAGUUUUCAUCAUUUCUUUUUCCUUUUCUUUCCCUCCCUUUCUUCCUUUCACAGCAUUGGCUGGCCUGGAACUUGCUCUGCAGCGCCAGUCUAGCCUCCUUCUCACAGCAUUCCUGACUCUGUCCUCACCAGGGGUUGGGAAUAGUGCCUGUAUUUCGUUGAAUAUUUCUACCCACAACAUAUUUCGGUAGCUUGUUAAUUUUGUUUAGUUUAUGUUUAUUUUUUAUUACAUUUAUUUGUGUGCAUGGGGAAGAACACAGUAUGUCACCCAUGUGGAGGUUAGAGGACAACUUGAGGAAUGUAGUUGUUUCUCUCCUUCCACUGUGUGGACCCUAAAGUUUGAAGGAAGGUCAUCAGGCUUUGUGUGACUCCUUUUGUCCUUUUACCUCUGCCUGGAUCACUUGUGUGUGCCACCAUGCUCAGCUUUAUAUUACAUUCUGAGUUUUAGUGCUGGGGAUAAUACCCAGUAUCUGCAGUGUAUUAAUAAGCACGUGCUCUACUACUGAGCAACCCGUUUCACCGCCUGCCCUAGUUUAUUUAUAAAGCCCGGCAUAAUUUGGUGCUGGAGUGCCAGGGAAAUGAGCAUGUGCCUAUCUUGUAUGGGUGUUUGAAUCUAGAAUUUCUCAUUUCUGUGACAAAUGCCUGUAAUCUAGCACUUGGAAGAUAGAGAUAGAGGAGAAUCAGGAAUUUAAGGUCAUCUUUUUUAUCUGUAUAGAAAAUUUUAGGCGGAGCCUGAGCUAUAAUAGAAAAUACUGCCUUGAAAAACUAACCCUAGGAUUGGGGAGCUGGCCUAAUGGAUAAAUCUGAAAGCUUGCUAACUCUCCAGGCCACAGCAGGAAUGGAUGAAAACCUGAGUUAGAGUUCCAGUAUCCUUGGGACAAGCUAGACUAUGGCCUCAUGGAGGAUGUAAUCCUAGUGCUGUGAUAGGACAGAGACAGGAGGAUCCCUAGGGCUUUCCGGGUGCUAACCUAGCUCUGGGUUUGGUGAGAGGCUCUAUUGUAAGGGAUAAAGUGGGAAAUGAUAGAGCAUGACACCCAAAUACCACCUCUGUCCUCCAUGUGCGCCCAUAGAGACUAGUGUGCAUAUAAUACACACUUGCCAAAUAGAGCAUAUGCCCAGAAUGUGGGUUUUGUUUGGUUCCAGGACUGCAAAAGAGUAAGCUAGGCUUGGUGGUACAUAUCUGUUGUCCUAACACUUGGGAGGUGGAAGCCAAAAGGAUUUGAAGUUUGGGGGCCAAAAACUCUUUGACAACCUGCCCUCUAUACACACUGUGUCAUUUGUGUUGUGGGCCACUACCCUACCACCCCACUGCAUUCCUGGCUCCCAUUGCAUGCAUGCUGUAUAGGAAGAAAUGAAACAGGGAACACGGGGAAACAAACACUUCAGUCUGUCUGUCUUCUCAAAGCCUGCUGGUUUUGUAUUGGGAAAUUGGAGUUAGUUGUUUUGGUGCUUUGGCUUGUCUACCUGGGAAGACAGAUGUUUCUUGAUGUGAGCAGACCCUUUGUGAGCUAGCAUCUUUAUCCCUACUACCAAGUAUUUAGCUGCUGAGAUGAUCCAUUUCUCUGGGGUAUUGAAAACUAAAAAGGUUUUCUGAUCUUAUAGAUAGUUGAAGUAUUGGUAACACCAAGGAACUGUCACAAUUUGAAAAGAUAAGCCAAGACUGAUUUCCAGACACUACAAGAAAAAAGGAGGGGAAAAUGGUAAGACAUUUUUUUCUUUGGUUAUCAACACUUUUCCUUCACUUAUGUACAGAGACAGCAUGUCCCCAGAGCAUUUGAUGCUGUUAGCAUUUUAUCUUAGAUAUUUGAAUUCUCUAAAAUAAUUACGUGUCACGAUGUGAAUACAGUAGUCCCCCCUUAGCUGUGUUCUCAAUUCCCGCGGUUUCAGUUACCUGCGGUCCACCGCAGUCUGAAAAUAUUAAGUGGAAAUUUCC
rnacentral:lncRNA from 1 species